UGAGCUGGCAGGCAGCUUGCUGCUUCGCUGACGAGUGGCGGACGGGUGAGUAAUGUCUGGGAAACUGCCUGAUGGAGGGGGAUAACUACUGGAAACGGUAGCUAAUACCGCAUAACGUCGCAAGACCAAAGAGGGGGACCUUCGGGCCUCUUGCCAUCGGAUGUGCCCAGAUGGGAUUAGCUAGUAGGUGGGGUAACGGCUCACCUAGGCGACGAUCCCUAGCUGGUCUGAGAGGAUGACCAGCCACACUGGAACUGAGACACGGUCCAGACUCCUACGGGAGGCAGCAGUGGGGAAUAUUGCACAAUGGGCGCAAGCCUGAUGCAGCCAUGCCGCGUGUAUGAAGAAGGCCUUCGGGUUGUAAAGUACUUUCAGCGGGGAGGAAGGCGAUAAGGUUAAUAACCUUGUCGAUUGACGUUACCCGCAGAAGAAGCACCGGCUAACUCCGUGCCAGCAGCCGCGGUAAUACGGAGGGUGCAAGCGUUAAUCGGAAUUACUGGGCGUAAAGCGCACGCAGGCGGUCUGUCAAGUCGGAUGUGAAAUCCCCGGGCUCAACCUGGGAACUGCAUUCGAAACUGGCAGGCUAGAGUCUUGUAGAGGGGGGUAAAAAUUCCAGGUGUAGCGGGUGAAAUGCGUAUAAGAUCUGGGAGGAAUACCGGGUGGCGAAAGGCG
rnacentral:rRNA from 1 species